UCAAAAUGGAUACCUUGGGAAGUCAUUCUGUUUGGGCUCUGUCCUAAUAUCAGAGGGGAGCAUAGGGCUCUGCCCAAUGAUAUACAGGCCCUUUCUACAACAUUGAAAAUGAAACUGGGUUCUGAGUCUGUGUCUGUAUACUCCUCUGAUUUCCAAGGGUCUGUGGGCAAUGACUAAGGAGACAAGCUAUGCAGGAAACAUUC
ensembl:snoRNA Gm25079 small nucleolar RNA SNORA73 family